rnacentral:rRNA from 1 species
GGCGCCUUGCGCGCACCGGCGGACGGCUCAGUAACACGUCGGUAACCUACCCUCGGGAGGGGGAUAACCCCGGGAAACUGGGGCUAAUCCCCCAUAGGCCUGAGGUACUGGAAGGUCCUCAGGCCGAAAGGGGCUUCUGCCCGCCCGAGGAUGGGCCGGCGGCCGAUUAGGUAGUUGGUGGGGUAACGGCCCACCAAGCCGAAGAUCGGUACGGGCCAUGAGAGUGGGAGCCCGGAGAUGGACACUGAGACACGGGUCCAGGCCCUACGGGGCGCAGCAGGCGCGAAACCUCCGCAAUGCGGGAAACCGCGACGGGGGGACCCCCAGUGCCGUGGCAUCGCCACGGCUUUUCCGGAGUGUAAAAAGCUCCGGGAAUAAGGGCUGGGCAAGGCCGGUGGCAGCCGCCGCGGUAAUACCGGCGGCCCGAGUGGUGGCC